GGACGAACGCUGGCGGUGUGCUUAAUACAUGCAAGUCGAACGAUGAGGUCUCUUCGGAGAUACAUCAGUGGCGGACGGGUGAGUAACACGUAGGUUACCUACCUUAAGGAAGGGGACAACAACGGGAAACCGUUGCUAAUACCCUAUAUGUCCUUCGGGAUGAAAGCUCCGGCGCCUUAAGAUGGGCCUGCGGCUGAUUAGCUAGUUGGUGGGGUAAAUGCCUACCAAGGCGACGAUCAGUAGCUGGUUUAAGAGGAUGAUCAGCCACAAUGGAACUGAGACACGGUCCAUACUCCUACGGGAGGCAGCAGUAGGGAAUUUUGCGCAAUGGGCGAAAGCCUGACGCAGCAACACCGCGUGUGGGAUGAAGCUUUUAGGAGUGUAAACCACUGUCAGUGGGGACGAAAUAUGACGGUACCCACAGAGGAAGCACCGGCUAACUCCGUGCCAGCAGCCGCGGUAAGACGGAGGGUGCAAGCGUUGUCCGGAAUUAUUGGGCGUAAAGCGUUCGUAGGCGGCAUGCCAAGUCUGAUGUUAAAGCCCGGAGCUCAACUCCGGAUCGGCAUUGGAUACUGGCAAGCUAGAGUGCAGAAGAGGCAAGGGGAAUUCCUAGUGUAGCGGUGAAAUGCGUAGAUAUUAGGAGGAACACCGGUGGCGUAAGCGCCUUGCUGGUCUGUAACUGACGCUGAGGAACGAAAGCCAGGGUAGCGAAUGGGAUUAGAUACCCCAGUAGUCCUGGCCGUAAACGAUGGAUACUAGGUGUUGCAGGUAUCGACCCCUGCAGUGCUGCAGCUAACGCAAUAAGUAUCCCGCCUGGGGAGUACAUACGCAAGUAUGAAACUCAAAGGAAUUGACGGGGAACCCGCACAAGCGGUGGAACAUNGUGGUUUAAUUCGAAGCAACGCGAAAGAACCUUAGCCAGGGGCUUUGACAAUCCCCCAAGAAUCAGCUGCAAGAGAAUGUGGGAGUGCCUUCGGGAACUUGGUGACAGGUGGUGCACGGUUGUCGUCAGCUCGUGUCGUGAGAUGUUGGGUUAAGUCCCGCAACGAGCGCAACCACUCAAUUGUUAGUUGCCUAUAACGGCAUGCUGUUAUAGUGCUCUCUAGCGAGACUGCCGGUGAUAAACCGGAGGAAGGUGGGGACGACGUCAAAUCAUCAUGCCCCUUAUGUCCUGGGCUACACACAGUGUUACAAUGGGUAGGACAACGAGCAGCCAACUUGCGAAAGUGAGCAAAUCUCUUAAACCUACUCUCAGUUCGGAUCGCAGUCUGCAACUCGACUGCGUGAAGUCGGAAUCGCUAGUAACCGUAGAUCAGCACGCUGCGGUGAUACGUUCCCGGGUCUUGUACACACUGCCCGUCACACCAUGGAAGCUGACCACGCCCGAAGUCGGUGUGCUACCUCUUGGAGGCAGCCGCCUAAGGCAGGGUUGUGGCUGGGGUGAA
rnacentral:rRNA from 1 species